rnacentral:rRNA from 1 species
UACGUAGGGGGCAAGCGUUGUCCGGAUUUAUUGGGCGUAAAGAGCGUGUAGGUGGCCAGACAGGUCAGCUGUGAAAACUCGAGGCUCAACCUCGAGACGUCGGUUGAAACCGUCUGGCUAGAGUCCGGAAGAGGAGAGUGGAAUUCCUGGUGUAGAGGUGAAAUUCGUAGAUAUCAGGAGGAACACCGGUGGCGAAGGCGGCUUUCUGGACGACAACUGACGCUGAGACGCGAAAGCGUGGGGAGCAAACAGG